GACCAUUCUACACAACAUGACCUUUUAACUUUAGGCCCCAACGGGUUCUGUGGUUUGCAUGCAGCCUGGAGUCCUUUUGAGAAACUUUUGUUGAAAAUGUGUGGAGAUCUGAGGAAAUGAAACAGAAUUUCAAAGGUCUUCCCAUCUUUGUUUCCUCGAAGAGGCAAUGUGAAGAAAAGGACAGUGGUGACAAGUGCUGGCUGGUGUGGAAUAAAACCAUGGAAAUGAUGUGAGCCUGAAAAAAUAAUCACAACAGUAAAGGCAAGAAAUGACUGGAAGAAAGACAUCUUCUCUUACUGGUUCUGGGAGAACUCAAUUCUCCCUUGAGAGAGACCUGCCCUGGCACUAUGGAAUAAGCAUGCUACGUUAACUUUCUAAAGGCCACUGGGGAACAAUUUACUGAACUGCAAACUUAAAGGCUGUUAUUUUCUUAUACCCAUGGGUAUGGAAUUUUUCUCCAAGAGUAUGCCUGUCAAAACGACAAUAAAAGCUUUAUGAUAGAGAGAGUAGUUUCGAGAAGGAGAUUUGGUCUGAUUCAAGCUGUUCUAUCAAGGCCAGAAAGGGAAGUUCUUGGCAGUGUUGCUCAAGUGGACUACCUGACAACUCUAUAUUAAUGGUCCAUGGUGAGAUCAGAAGCUUGUGCCAGCAUAUAUACCAACACUGCUUCCUUCAUAUAAAAUUCUUCAUAUAAAAAUUCUUAUAUGUCCCCCACCCUGUAAAUGUUAGCUGCACCAAACAGUUAAUUUGCUUUCCUUACAAGCCUUAGUUGAUUUACAUUAUGACACAAGGUCCUUAACUCAUUACAGAGUAUAAAGAAAUAGUUCAAUGAUCAUCUAUCUAAGGAUCUCACUAGUUAUGAGACCAGAAAAAUGAAGCAUAAAAUAGCCAACAGUAAACCUAACUGCGUGUCAGUAACCCACAGCCUACAUUAAUAAGGAUUCCUUUUUAUGGAAUGCAUAUCUUAAGACAGAUUUAUCAGUUCAGCAACGUGCUUACAACUACCUGUAAUUGUUCUGAGAACUCUUGGCAAUUUGAUGUUUUUCAUAAUUAUUAUAAUAUAAAAUUAUUAUAUUACAAUGCAAAAUUAUUAUAUUAAAAUUAUUAUAAUUCCUUUCUCCUGUCACAGGCUAGUUCUCAUUUCUUCGCUCAGAACCUCAUCCUGAAAUGUCAGUGUUAUGUAGGACUUACUUCUCUUCUCACUGUGCAGCUUAUGGAAUUCCUAUGAUUCAAAUUGCCCACAUUCUGAUGGCAUCCCCUCAUCUGCCUCAUUAGCUGUAAUCUUUCUCAUGAAUUUCCUAUCCAUAU
rnacentral:lncRNA from 10 species